rnacentral:rRNA from 1 species
CUCCUACGGGAGGCAGCAGUGGGGAAUUUUGGACAAUGGGCGAAAGCCUGAUCCAGCAAUGCCGCGUGUGUGAAGAAGGCCUUCGGGUUGUAAAGCACUUUUGUCCGGGAAGAAAUGGCUCUGGUUAAUACCUGGGGUCGAUGACGGUACCGGAAGAAUAAGGACCGGCUAACUACGUGCCAGCAGCCGCGGUAAUACGUAGGGUCCAAGCGUUAAUCGGAAUUACUGGGCGUAAAGCGUGCGCAGGCGGUUGUGCAAGACCGAUGUGAAAUCCCCGAGCUUAACUUGGGAAUUGCAUUGGUGACUGCACGGCUAGAGUGUGUCAGAGGGGGGUAGAAUUCCACGUGUAGCAGUGAAAUGCGUAGAGAUGUGGAGGAAUACCGAUGGCGAAGGCAGCCCCCUGGGAUAACACUGACGCUCAUGCACGAAAGCGUGGGGAGCAAACAGGAUUAGAUACCCUGGUAGUCCACGCCCUAAACGAUGUCAACUAGUUGUUGGGGAUUCAUUUCCUUAGUAACGUAGCUAACGCGUGAAGUUGACCGCCUGGGGAGUACGGUCGCAAGAUUAAAACGCAAAGGAAUUGACGG